rnacentral:rRNA from 1 species
GACGAACGCUGGCGGCGUGCUUAACACAUGCAAGUCGAACGGAAAGGCCCUGCUUUUGUGGGGUGCUCGAGUGGCGAACGGGUGAGUAACACGUGAGUAACCUGCCCUUGACUUUGGGAUAACUUCAGGAAACUGGGGCUAAUACCGGAUAGGAGCUCCUGCUGCAUGGUGGGGGUUGGAAAGUUUCGGCGGUUGGGGAUGGACUCGCGGCUUAUCAGCUUGUUGGUGGGGUAGUGGCUUACCAAGGCUUUGACGGGUAGCCGGCCUGAGAGGGUGACCGGCAACAUUAGGCCUAGGAUACGGCCCAGACUCCUACGGGAGGCAGCAGUGGGGAAUAUUGCACAAAGGGCGGAAGCCUGAUGCAGCAACGCCGCGUGCGGGAUGACGGCCUUCGGGUUGUAAACCGCUUUCGCCUGUGACGAAGCGUGAGUGACGGUAAUGGGUAAAGAAGCCCCGGCUAACUACGUG